rnacentral:tRNA from 1 species
GGCGUGGUGGCAGAGUGGUCUAAUGCGCGGGAUUGCAAAUCCUGUAUUCGUCGGUUCGAAUCCGACCCACGCCUCCA